CACACACACACACAGACUGCUGAGUCCAUACACACACACAGACUCUACUGAGUCCAUACACACACAGACUCUGCUGAGUCCGUACACACACACACAGACUCUGCUGAGUCCGUACACACACACACAGAAUCUGCUGAGUCCGUACACACACACACAGACUCUGCUGAGUCCGUACACACACACACAGACUGCUGAGUCCAUAC